rnacentral:ncRNA from 1 species
ACCUGAGCAAACUAUGAACUAUGCCUGGGCAGGGCGAAGCCAGAGGAAACUCUGGUGGGGGUCCACAGCGGUCCUGACAUGCAAAUGGUCAUCUGACCCGGGUCUAGGGGCAAAAGACUAAUCGAACCAUCUAGUAGCUGG